rnacentral:rRNA from 1 species
GACAGAGGGUGCAAACGUUGCUCGGAAUCACUGGGCUUAAAGGGCGCGUAGGCGGGCAUUUCAAGUCUAUGGUGAAAUCCUCCAGCUCAACUGGAGAACUGCCGUGGAUACUGGGUGUCUCGAGGGAGGUAGGGGCGUGCGGAACUAAUGGUGGAGCGGUGAAAUGCGUUGAUAUCAUUAGGAACUCCGGUGGCGAAGGCGGCACGCUGGACCUCUUCUGACGCUGAGGCGCGGAAAGCCAGGG